AACAACUCCUCCUUCAACUGGAGAGAAAAAUAUAUUUUGCUGAAGAGAAUGACGGAAAGUUUUGCAACCAGAUUUGUGCAAGAUUUCUUGCUUAAAGAAGCAAUAGCAUUUCUAGUGGCAAGAAAGAUGGGUAUAUCAUUAAAAACAGCCGAUGAGCUUUGCCAGCAAACAGAGAUGCUAAAAAGAUAAGGUGGGAAAAGCCAGACUUCAAUAGCUUCAUCAGACAUUACCACAAUCCAUGAAAAAAUAAUUGUUUUUGGGAGUGAUAGAAUUAAUAGAAGAACAACAUUAAUUAUCUUUUGAGAAAUGCAUUUUGAGUGGUUGAAUUAUAAGAUUAUAAUUCUAGUAACUAAACUGCAGGAUUGGAACAAACAUUAGCGUUACAUGUACCAUCCACAGAGUUUGUCAAGUUUUGAGAACAAUGUAUUAGUUCAUUCAUGCCACUGUAACAACCAUGUGCUGUGAAAAAAUUUUGAAUAAAAGUUGUAAUUUGCAAUAAAAAUAAUAA